AACGCGAAGAACCUUACCGAGGCUUGACAUCCCUUGACAGCCCAGGAAAUGGGGUUUUCUCCGCAAGGAGACAAGGAGACAGGUGCUGCAUGGCUGUCGUCAGCUCGUGCCGUGAGGUGUUGGGUUAAGUCCCGCAACGAGCGCAACCCUUGUCGUGUGUUGGUCCUUUGGAUCUCUCACGCGAGACCGCCGGUGACAAACCGGAGGAAGGUGGGGAUGACGUCAAGUCAGCAUGGCCCUUACGCCUCGGGCUACACACGUGCUACAAUGGAUGGGACAACGAGUUCCAAGCUCGCAAGGGUAAGGUAAUCUCUUAAACCCAUUCUCAGUUCGGAUUGAAGGCUGCAACUCGCCUUCAUGAAGUCGGAAUCGCUAGUAACCGUAGAUCAGCUACGCUGCGGUGAAUACGUUCCCGGGCCUUGUA
rnacentral:rRNA from 1 species